UUAAUUAUUAUAUUAAUGAAUUACAGUUUUUAAUGGAUUAAUUCUGGCCCUUGAUGGAUUUCAAUCCAAAGGCCAGAAAUUAAUGUUUUGUUAAUCUUUGUAUCUUUUUCUCAUUGGUCAAUCUCUCAAACACAAGGAUAGCUAUCUUAACCAUUGAUUAUUUUUGAUCCUAUGGUUAGCAAUCACAGAUCUCACAUCUCUAUCUCUUCCUUCUCUUCUUCUUUCACUCUCUCUCUCUCUCUCUCUCUCUCUCUCUCUCUCUCUCUCUCUCUCUCUCUCUCUCUCUCUCUCUCUCUCUUUUCUUGGUUUUGGAUCUAAAACUAAUCUCUUCUAAUUCUUCUUUAAUCCUUUGAAUCUCUAUCUUCUUCAAUCAUCACCACAAACACACGACCUCCCCACCGUCCCAGCAUCACAACCACCACCACAUGGCCUCCAUUCGUUCUCUGUCCCAACACCACCACCACCACACCUGACCUCCGUUCGUUCGUCGUCCCAGCAUCACCACCACCACCACACCUCCAUGGAAUGGAGGAGGCAAGGCGAAGAAGCUGUUGUGUGGAGAUGGCAGAGGAAGCUCGUGGUGGAGGUGGAGGUGGAUCCGGGAAAGAAGAAGAGAGACAGAGACGCGAGGAGGAGGCGAAGACGAAUGGAGGAGGAGGAAGACGACGGGAUGUACAUGGCGGUGAGAUGGUGGUCCGCCAGUGUGGAUUGCAAGAUGAAGAAGACGAUGAAGAUGGUGGUGGAGAGGCAGCUGCAUAGGUUUAGUUAGUCAUCAAUUAGGUUUAAACUUGGUUUAGGUUUAAGCAUGGUUUAAGUUAUUGGUUUAUUUGGUUUUGUCUUUUUUCAUUUAAUUAGAGUUUUUAUAUUUUUGUAAACCAAUUUAAUUAUAAAUUAUUUAAUAUAAUAAAAAAUUAAAUA